AACGAACGCUGGCGGCAGGCCUAACACAUGCAAGUCGAGCGCACCCUUCGGGGUGAGCGGCGGACGGGUGAGUAACGCGUGGGAACGUGCCCUUCUCUGCGGAAUAGCCUCGGGAAACUGAGAGUAAUACCGCAUACGCCCUUUGGGGGAAAGAUUUAUCGGAGAAGGAUCUGCCCGCGUUGGAUUAGGUAGUUGGUGGGGUAAUGGCCCACCAAGCCGACGAUCCAUAGCUGGUUUGAGAGGAUGAUCAGCCACACUGGGACUGAGACACGGCCCAGACUCCUACGGGAGGCAGCAGUGGGGAAUCUUAGACAAUGGGGGCAACCCUGAUCUAGCCAUGCCGCGUGAGUGAUGAAGGCCUUAGGGUUGUAAAGCUCUUUCAGCUGGGAAGAUAAUGACGGUACCAGCAGAAGAAGCCCCGGCUAACUCCGUG
rnacentral:rRNA from 1 species